UCUCUCUCUCUCUCUCUCUCUCAAAUAAAUAGAUAAAAUCUUUAAAAAAAAAAAAAAAAAGUUAAGUCAGACCAUGCUGGCAAACUCUGGAAGAUUUGUUUCUGUGAUUGGUUGGCCUCCUCCAAAAAUAUCAAAGAGCCACUUCAUUGUGGAAAUACCAGUCAGUAGUAGAGAAUUCAGUCUUCGUGUCUCGUUCCCGGCAUGUAAGUAUAGAGUAACAGAUACUAAUAUUAGUGUUGUUACUGGGGUUUCCAUGGAACACAUGCAAGUGAAGCUGGAUUCUUCUGGACUUUAAAUCCUAAAAGGUCUUAAAGAUUGCUUCAUGUAGUUCCCUCUUAACUUCCACGUGGCCUCGCAAAAGACUAUUAGUCAUAGCCUGGAUUUAUAUAAUCCGGGACGCCCUUUAGCUGAAAUAAGGAGCUUCAGAAGGGAACACAAAACAAGUGAACAGAUAGCCAAAGGUCAGUGAAACCACAGAAUUUCCUCCUCCUCCAGCCGAUGCCAUGGAGGGAUGAAGGGACAGUUUACUCCAGGCCAAGGUCGCCGAGGGGUGUUGUGUUGUGUCCUUCUCCCCAGUGCUUAGUGUAGAGAAGUCCACAGAUUCAUGGGAAACCAUUGAGUGCUACUUGACUCAGAUAACCUUGUUUUCCUUCAUAAGUCAAACCUCUCAUUUGUUGUGGGGUUCGGGCUCUUGGCGACAGAAGGCCGGGGUCAGACAGGUAGGUGAAGGUCAAGGAUGGGGGAGUUGAUUGCCUUUCUCCUCUAGAGCCCUAACUCCCCUUUGUGGUCCACUUGCCCACAGGCCUGGGGUCGCAGACCAACUCGAUGGGGGACAGGCUCCCGAGCUCUGUCACUCUUUCUUGUGAAAGUUCGCGGGUAGGGAUUCUGAAGGUAUUUGCUGUGUCCACGUGUAGAACUUCAUCCACUUUACCUGGUGAUCUGAUGAGCAAGAGGAGUAGAAGUGAGAUGUAGAAGUAAAAUAAACAUUUCUCAGAAUAAUGUGUUUUUAUCUUUUUCCAGAACCAAAGCCUUUAGACUUUUGUAGAACUUUCUGGAUUCUUUCUGAAUCAGUGUUUUAUGUAAAUAAACAUAAAUGAAGAAUGGAAAAGGAGUUCUCUGACGAGGCACAUCAACCUAUUUCUUGUUCUCCCUCUCUGCUACGAAGGAAAUGUGUUGUAGAAGGACAGACACCAAAUAAGGAGUAUCCCGAAAGGGACAUUCAAAUUUCUUGCGUUUUUCAGCGCAUCCCCUGGGACUGCAGAUGGGCGCAUGGCAUUAAUGGAAAGGUGUGCUGGGAAUGAGCCUACAUGAGACUUUUAUGAGAUCUAUUCGCAUUUGGUGUUGGAACAGCCACAUAGCAAUGUGGUUUUUUUUUUUUAAUUGUAACCUUCUGUGUAAACAUUGGCACCUUAUUAAAAAUUAAAUGUUUGAACUUUACUUUUAAAAAUAAAACAAGCACAGUCCUCAA